rnacentral:rRNA from 1 species
CCUACGGGAGGCAGCAGUGAGGAAUAUUGGUCAAUGGGCUUACGCCUGACCCAGCCAAGUCGCGUGAGGGAAGACUGCCCUAUGGGUUGUAAACCUCUUUUGUCAGGGAGCAAUUGGCGCUACGUGUAGCGUUCUCUAGAGUCCCUGAAGAAAAAGCCUCGGCUAACUCCGUGCCAGCAGCCGCGGUAAUACGGAGGAUGCGAGCGUUAUCCGGAUUUAUUGGUUUUAAAGGGAGCGUAGGUGGAUUGUUAAGUCAGUUGUGAAAGUUUGCGGCUCAACCGUAAAAUUGCAGUUGAAACUGGCAGUCUGGAGGACAGUAGAGGUGGGCGGAAUUCGUGGUGUAGCGGUGAAAUGCUUAGAUAUCACGCAGAACUCCGAUUGCGAAGGCAGCAUACCGGCGCGCAACUGACGCUCAUGCACGAAAGUGUGGGUAUCGAACAGGAUUAGAUACCCGAGUAGUC